ACCAAGAGAGAUAACGUCGAAGAAUGUGCUCUCUUGACCUCAAGCCAUUGUCGUAUAUAUAUAUAUGGAGCUGUGUAGAAAUGGCAGUUUACUACUUUGCAGCAAGGCAAGAAAUUGAGAAACUGAAACAAGAGAUUUCAUACAGAGAAAAAAACUGGAUUCAGCAAUGAAGGAUGACACAAAUCACUUUCUGUUGCAUUGUGGGGCACGGCUCGUUUGUGAAGGCAUAAAAUGCAUGAAAGUAAUAGAGUGAAGAUCCUUUUUAAGAAUUAUUUCACGAUUCGUUUACAAUGUACUUUUCUGAAAAAAUAAAAAGUAAUCGACUGAGUACAGAAAGUAAACUAAUUUAUGGCAGAUAUUUUAAAUAUGUACAUUUGGUUCUCUUUUGUUGGCACUAUGCUCUUUGUUCCUCGUAGUUGCAAAGUUACAUCCAUUAAUACUCGUGAUUUGGUAGCCUGGUGUUGGAAGAUAGUUAUGUCGUAAUAAAAUAUAGAUUGUAUUUAGUGUGGAUGAUUUUCAUUGUAAUAGAGUGUGGCAACUGUGAUACAGAUUACUAUUUAAGUGACUGUGUAUUUAUUGUGUUGGCUUCUAUUUUACGAACGCUUAAAAAUG